AUGUCGUCUUCUUCUUCCUCCAGUGCCUCCCAGGCUGGCCCCAACGGCCAAGUCACGGAGAGGCUCUCCCGCACCAACUACGUCCUCUGGCGCGCGCAGAUCGUGCCGCAGCUGAGGGGCGCGGGUGUCUUCGGCUACGUCGACGACACGACACCGGAGCCGGCCAGGAUCCUCCACACCAAGGACAAAGAUGGGAAGGAAUCAACUGAGCCGAAUCCCCUCCACUUCAUCUGGAUGCGAGAGGACCAGCAGGUGCUCGGGUACCUGCUGAACAACCUCACCAAGGAGGUGCUCGUGCAGGUGACCGCGAUCACCAUGGCGCACGAGCUCUGGACGGCGCUGUCGGGGAUGUUCUCCUCGCAGUCGCUCAGUCGCGUCAACAACAUCAGAACCUCUCUGGUGAACGCCCAGAAGGGCAACAAGACCGUCACCACCUACUUCGCCGAGAUGCGCGGCUUCGCUGAUGAGCUGGCCGCCGCCGGGAAACCUCUCCAGGAUGAUGAGCUCAUCUCCUACAUCCUGCACGGCCUCGACAUGGACUACCAGCCACUUGUCUCCGCCCUCGACGCCCGCAUCACCCCGGUAUCCCUCGAUGAGCUUUUUUCAAUGCUUAGCAACUUUGGUCAGAGGGUGGCGUAG
rnacentral:rRNA from 1 species